UACGUAGGGGGCAAGCGUUGUCCGGAUUUAUUGGGCGUAAAGAGCGUGUAGGCGGCCGUACAGGUCAGCUGUGAAACUCGAGGCUCAACCUCGAGACGUCGGUUGAAACCGUACGGCUAGAGUCCGGAAGAGGAGAGUGGAAUUCCCGGUGUAGCGGUGAAAUGCGCAGAUAUCGGGAAGAACACCCGUGGCGAAGGCGGCUCUCUGGGACGGUACUGACGCUGAGACGGCGAAAGCGUGGGGAGCGAACAGG
rnacentral:rRNA from 1 species